CCAUGCGUUGAGAUACCACUCAGACCCUAUGAUCAAUGUCCAGGCAAACACAGGUUACAAUCAGGUGUGGAAUUGGCCUCCGGGGAUUUGUGCAGAGGGAUAAAAGAGGGAAGGCAAAGCUGAACUACCGAAAGCAUUGAGCUUCUGUUUGUUGAUUGCAAGUGGUAAAAUCUGCAAGGAGCACUGCCACAGGAAAGCAGCAUCCCUCAUCAAGGACCCCUGCCAUCCUGGUCAUGCUCUCUUCCCGCUGCUGCCAUCAGAAAGGAGGUACAGGACCCUUUGGUCCCACAUCGUCGGGUUCAGUUAUUACCCUUCGACCAUCAGGCUCCUGAACCAGCGUGGAUAACUUUACUUCCCUCAACACCGAACUGAUUCCAGAAUCUAUGGACUCACUCUUAAGCAUUCUACAGCUCAU